CUACGGGACGCUCCAGUGGGGAAUAUUGCACAAUGGAGGAAACUCUGAUGCAGCAACGCCGCGUGGAGGAUGACACUUUUCGGAGCGUAAACUCCUUUUAUAUAGGAAGAAGAUGACGGUACUAUAUGAAUAAGCGCCGGCUAACUCCGUGCCAGCAGCCGCGGUAAUACGGAGGGCGCAAGCGUUACUCGGAAUCACUGGGCGUAAAGAGCGUGUAGGCGGAUUAAAAAGUCAGAAGUGAAAUCCUAUAGCUUAACUAUAGAACUGCUUCUGAAACUCUUGAUCUAGAAUAUGGGAGAGGUAGAUGGAAUUUCUGGUGUAGGGGUAAAAUCCGUAGAGAUCAGAAGGAAUACCGAUUGCGAAGGCGAUCUACUAGAACAUUAUUGACGCUGAGACGCGAAAGCGUGGGGAGCAAACAGGAUUAGAUACCCGUGUAGUC
rnacentral:rRNA from 1 species